rnacentral:lncRNA from 1 species
AUGGGACAAUGUUUUCAAAACUGUUUUUUGUUUUGCUUUGUUUUAAUAAAUCUAGCUGGACAACUGAGCCAGUCGGCACAUCUAGCACUCCAGCUACCAUACAAUGUACUUGGUUUAGGUCGAAGUGCAAAUUUUCUUGACCAUCUUUAUGUUGGUAUUCCCCGUCCACCCGGAGAGAAGUCUAUAAGAAAACAAGAAUGGACUGCAAUCAUUCCAAAUUCCCAGCUAAUUGUCAUUCCAUACCCCCACAAUGUCCCUCGAAGCUGGAGUGCCAAACUAUAUCUCACACCAAGUAACAUUGUUCUGCUCACUGCUAUUGCGCUCGUCGGUGUCUGUGUUUUCAUCUUGGCAAUAAUUGGCAUUUUACAUUGGCAGGAAAAGAAAGCAGAUGAUAGAGAAAAGCGACAAGAAGCCCAUCGGUUUCAUUUUGAUGCUAUGUGACUUGGGUUUAAUAUUGCCUAAUGGAAUGAAUUUUCAUGUGAUUAGUUGAAAUAACCAACUUCUGGCUUAUCAAAAAAUAGGAGAUUUUGAAUAUUAUUUAUAAAUGAUGCAUCAUUUGGUAAUUAUUUGGAAAGUAUUAAAUACAGUCUGACUGUCUCACAAGGUCUUUUUUAAGCAGUUUGUAUACAAUUGGGUUCAUUAUUCAGUAGUUCUGUGCAUUUUUCUUCCUUUGUGGAAUGUAUUGCAUGUACUGUGGUGUCUAUGUAUUUAUAAUCUUAUUAGAGUAAUAAUGAUGGAUAAAGACAUGUAAAUAAAACUAUUUAAAUGAGCAGGAUUCUUUUAUUCCACUUAAAUUGGUCUUGUUUCUUAUUAUGAUAAUACAAAUUAUACUUUUGCAGAUGCAUCACAGAUAGAGUUAUUAAACCUGCACCUUCAUUACAGCAGUUCAGGGGUCUCAUUGUUGGCACACGAUGUAGUGAUUGAGCACUCUGGCUUUGGAGUCACAGCAAGACAGACUUGCCUUAAACUCCUGCUUCCAGAGCUUGCAAAGAUAUUGUUUGAAUUUGGCUCUUCCUUAACCACUGUGUGCUUCACUUUUGUUUACACAAUGGGGCUAAUAGUAUACCUAACUCACUUGAGUUAUUGUAAACAUUACAUGGGGAGAUUUUUGUAAAAUGCUUAGCUUGGUGCCUAGCACAGAGUAAGUGCUCAUUAAGUGAUAGUUGUCAUUAUUUUCAGAUGAUUUAUUAGACUUCUACAACUAAUUAUCAAAUUACAUUUUAAAAAUUAUAUAGAAUUGGUAGAAUUUUACUUUCAGGCAUGAGGAAAUCAUGUUCUUUGGAAAACCGAAAUUCUUGGUGGUUCACAACUUAUAUGUACAUUACUUGCUCAUAUUGACUAAAAAUUAUAGUACUCUCCAAGAAUAAAUGUGCUCUAAAAACGUUCAUGUGAAAACUAAUCCUUAUCAUGUGAUAAUGAAGAACAUUUGGUUUCUUGAAAAGAAGCUACUGUAGGCAGCAUCUGGGAAAAAAAAUCUUCAAUUGCAUUUCUGUUCUCAAAGGCUUAGAAAAGUCUGUAAUUUACAUUCAAACUUCAAUGCAAAUUUUAUAUUAUAUUCACAUUGCCAAAAUUUACUUCAAAGAGACUGAAGUGUAAGAUUGAGAAACAAGGGCCAGGGAUUUAGCUCAGUGGUUUCGCUGCCUGCUGUGCAAGCUCAAGGACCGGAGUUCGAUCCCCGGUACCAAAAAAAAAAAGAUUGAGAAACAAGUUUAUAUAUGAAGUCUAAUAAUUUUCUAAUAUGCAAAUAGACAUGUGAUAGCUCUAAAAUACAAAAAUUUCUCUGAAAACAAUUUUUCCCUUCAUGCUGUUUUUUUCUUUACAGUUCACUGAGAGUGGCAUGUGUUUAAUUAUUUACUGUGUAUCUAAGCAUGUUAAUGUGUCUUCCUAAUAAAUAUGCCUUACUGAAAGAAAGUGUUGUGGUCAGUUUUUAAACAAUUAUUUUGGAGCUGAAGAGGCACUCGAGGUUUUGAAUUAUAAAUCACUUAUCUGGACCCUGACACUGAGGGAAGCUGACUUGUCCAUUCCCUGUUUGUAAGUCAGGAACAACACGGAGUUCUCCUGAUAGUACUCACAUUCACUCAACAGUUACCAGCCCACAGUGCUCUGCCAGGAGCUGGAAUGCCAAGCACUCCAUGUUUUCAAGACACAGGCUUAGUAUCUAUCAAGUUAGAAAGUAUGAGUCUUACAAAUGACUUGUCAGCCGGGGAUUUAGCCCAGUGGUUUCGCUGCCUGCUGCGCAAGCACAAGGACCUGAGUUCAAUCCCCAGUACCAAAAAAAAAAAAAAAAAAAAAUAGAAACAAAUCAGUAUGGAGGUUCUGAAAAGACUAAAAAUAUAAACCCCAUUUGACCUAGCUAUAUGUCUUCUAGGUAUCUUCCCCAGAGUUAAAGAGAUCAUAUUAGUGAUACAUUCAUACCCAUGUUUAUAGCAGCACAACUCAUAAUAGGUAAAUCUUGAAAAUGGCCUAUAUGCCCAUUGAUAAACAAAUGGAUAAAGAACAUGUAGUGUUUAUAC